rnacentral:rRNA from 1 species
AGUGAACGCUGGCGGUAGGCCUAACACAUGCAAGUCGAACGGCAGCACAGUAAGAGCUUGCUCUUACGGGUGGCGAGUGGCGGACGGGUGAGGAAUACAUCGGAAUCUACUUUUUCGUGGGGGAUAACGUAGGGAAACUUACGCUACUACCGCAUACGACCUACGGGUGAAAGCAGGGGAUCUUCGGACCUUGCGCGAUUGAAUGAGCCGAUGUCGGAUUAGCUAGUUGGCGGGGAAAAGGCACACCAAGGCAACGAUGCGUAGCUGGUCUGAGAGGAUGAACAGACACAGUGGAACUGAGACACGGUCGAGACUCCUACGAGGGGCAGCAGUGGGAAAUAGUGGACAAUGGGCGAAAGCCUGAUCCAGCCAUACCGCGUGGGUGAAGAAGGCCUUCGGGUUGUAAAGCCCUUUUGUUGGGAAAGAAAAGCAGCAGGUUAAUACCCCGCUGUUCUGACGGUACCCAAAGAAUAAGCACCGGCUAACUUCG